GGAUAGGGUGAGAAGACUCUGAGGGAAGACCCCAGCAGGAACCACCCCUUCAUCAAUGACCACCUGUUGAGAGAUCCACUAGCCUCUAUAAAAGAUGUGGCCAAAUCAUGGCUCGUGACCACAACUGCAGCUCAGAGAGCCCCCCAUGCCCCACCUUUUCCACCUACCAGACCUGGAGGUGGAGCUCAGGACCUUUGCCUUGCUGUGAGUGGUGGGGUAGGGGCUUCUGCUCAGUGAGAAGGGAGAUCUAGGGGCUUCAGCAGGAGUGGAGCUGAAACCCUGAGCCCCAGCAGGUGUCCCCAGCUCUCGAACUUCUGAAGAUUGUCAUAUGCGGCUCAGUGGGAAAGCAAGUUUGGCCACCUCUGCUCUAUAAUAGCUGUGGCUUUAGUGUCACUAACUAGAAAAGAAUGGGAAGAUUCUACAAGAGUUAAGGGCUCUCUUCCUGUACAAUUUCACUCAUUAAACAAAGGAGUUACCAUAUCUGACCAAAUCAAUUGUCUCUCCAGUUUGGUGCCUUACCUUCAGCAGCAGCCUACAACUUCGGAGGAAGGUAAAAUCAGAUGAAAAGGAAUUUAAACAGCUAUCCAGAACUAUAUCAUGCGGAAUUGCAAAUGACCACCAGGUUAUUCCUUAAAGCACAAAAACUGUUAGAUUCUAUAGUAUUUAUUCUAGCUUGAAUAAUUGCAUAUGUUAUCCCAAUUUCUACAGUAGAUACCGAAUCCUUUCUCUGAGUUCUCUUAUGCUUGAAUUUACUAACGAGCAAUCUCCUG